AUUCGCUGCGUUCUUCAUCUAUGCGGAGCCAAGAGAUCCGUGUCUGAAAGUUGUAUUAUAUGCGUUGGACGCAAGAGUACAUCUUUAAACUGAAGUAGUUUGUGAUAAUACAUAGGAGGGCCUCAACCAGAGCAAAGUCAAUGAAGACCGUGGCUCCAAUCACAAGCCAACCUACAGUGUGUGCACAGGUGUGUGAGAUGGAUAGUGAUCAGGGCGUGCACAUGCCGCCCCAAAGAGACGGGCCAGCUACAACCCCCUUUUACAACCUCAUAAAUGAACCUUUCCCCUUGGGGGACCUGCGGAAGGAUCUUUACUGAAUCUGAAAGGGGUUGUAGCUGGCCGUCUCUUUGGGGCGGCAUGUGCACGCCCUGAUCACUAUCCAUCUCACACACCUGUGCACACACUGUAGGUUGGCUUGUGAUUGGAGCCACGGUCUUCAUUGACUUUGCUCUGGUUGGAGGCCCUCCUAUGUAUUAUCACAAACUACUUCAGUUUAAAGAAUGUACUCUUGCGUCUAACGCAUUUAAAUACAACUUUCAGCAACGGAUCUCUUGGCUCUCGCAUCGAUGAAGAACGCAGCGAAAUGCGAUAAGUAAUGUGAAUUGCAGAAUUCAGUGAAUCAUCGAAUCUUUGAACGCACCUUGCGCUCCUUGGUAUUCCGAGGAGCAUGCCUGUUUGAGUGUCAUGGAAUUCUCAACUCUAUUUGCUUUUGUGAAUAGAGCUUGGAUUUGGAGGUUUUUGCUGGUACUUGUGAUCGGCUCCUCUUGAAUGCAUUAGCUCGAACCUUUGCGGAUCAGCUAUCGGUGUGAUAAUUGUCUACGCCGUUGCAGUGAAGCAUAUCAAUGGGCUCGGCUUCCAAUCGUCCUUUACUGGACAAUGACUUUGACCUUUGACCUCAAAUCAGAGGCCCSCUGAACUUAAGCAUAUCAUAAAGGGGGGAGAGAAAUUAUUUUUUACUUUAAAAGGGGGGUUGUAGCUUGCAGUUCAUUCUCGGGCGGCUGUGCACGCCAAGAUAAAAAUCCUUGUAUCAAGUCGAACCUUGAUGUGGGGGGUUUGUGGCCCCUCCCUUUUUACAGACCUCGCCCUUGGUAGGAAGCCAUCCCUGUAUUCAAAACAACGCAUUCGCUUUGACGAAAGGUAUCUUGCGCUCACGCAAUUAACCCUAUGCUACCUA
rnacentral:rRNA from 1 species